UAACUACCCAUCAGAGGGGAUAACACUUGAAACAGGUGCUAAUACCGCAUAACAGUUUAUGCCGCAUGGCAUAAGAGUGAAAGGCGCUUUCGGGUGUCGCUGAUGGAUGGACCCGCGGUGCAUUAGCUAGUUGGUGAGGUAACGGCUCACCAAGGCCACGAUGCAUAGCCGACCUGAGAGGGUGAUCGGCCACACUGGGACUGAGACACGGCCCAG
rnacentral:rRNA from 1 species